rnacentral:rRNA from 1 species
UACGUAGGGUGCAAGCGUUGUCCGGAAUUAUUGGGCGUAAAGAGCUCGUAGGCGGUUUGUUGCGUCGGCUGUGAAAUCCCGAGGCUCAACCUCGGGUCUGCAGUCGAUACGAGCAAACUAGAGUGUUGCAGGGGAGACUGGAAUUCCUGGUGUAGCGGUGAAAUGCGCAGAUAUCAGGAGGAACACCGGUGGCGAAGGCGGGUCUCUGGGCCGUAACUGACGCUGGAGGAGCGAAAGCUAGGGGAGCAAACAGG